rnacentral:tRNA from 1 species
GCGGGCGUAGCUCAAGGGCAGAGCCCCGGCCUUCCAAGCCGGUCAUGUGGGUUCGAUUCCCAUCGCCCGCUCCA